rnacentral:rRNA from 1 species
GACGAACGCUGGCGGCGUGCCUAACACAUGCAAGUCGAGCGAGAAGCUUAUGAUUGAGACUUCGGUUGAUUGAAUAAGUGGAAAGCGGCGGACGGGUGAGUAACGCGUGAACAAUCUGUCCCAGACAGGGGGAUAACACUUAGAAAUAGGUGCUAAUACCGCAUAAGCGCACAGUGUCGCAUGACACAGUGUGAAAAACUCCGGUGGUACAAGAUGGACCCGCGUCUGAUUAGAUAGUUGGCGGGGUAACGGCCCACCAAGUCGACGAUCAGUAGCCGGACUGAGAGGUUGAACGGCCACAUUGGGACUGAGACACGGCCCAGACCUCCUACGGGAGGCAGCAGUGGGGAAUAUUGGGCAAUGGGCGAAAGCCUGACCCAGCGACGCCGCGUGAGGGAAGAAGAUCUUCGGAUUGUAAACCUUAGUCAACAGGGAAGAAGAAAGUGACGGUACCUGUGGAGGAAGCCACGGCUAACUACGUG